UACGAAGGGUGCAAACGUUGCUCGGAAUCAUUGGGCGUAAAGCGCACGUAGGCGGCUUCGCAAGUCGGAUGUGAAAUCCCUCGGCUCAACCGAGGACGUGCAUCCGAAACUGCGGGGCUUGAGUACAGAAGAGGAUCGCGGAAUUCCCGGUGUAGAGGUGAAAUUCGUAGAUAUCGGGAGGAACACCAGUGGCGAAGGCGGCGAUCUGGGCUGAUACUGACGCUGAGGUGCGAAGGCGUGGUGAGCAAACAGG
rnacentral:rRNA from 1 species